rnacentral:rRNA from 1 species
UACGUAGGUGGCAAGCGUUGUCCGGAUUUACUGGGCGUAAAGGGCGUGCAGGCGGUUUGUUAAGUGCAGGGUGAAAGCCCCCGGCUCAACUGGGGAGGGUCACGCGAUACUGAUCGACUCGAAGGCAGGAGAGGGAAGUGGAAUUCCCGGUGUAGUGGUGAAAUGCGUAGAUAUCGGGAGGAACACCAGUGGCGAAGGCGACUACCUGGCCUGUUCUUGACGCUGAGGCGCGAAAGCUAGGGGAGCAAACGGG